ACAAAAAGGCCGUGUACGCUCAAACUUACUCCGGAAGACUUGUUGCAGAAAAAUGACCCGGGGUUAUGCAAAUGAUGACAAUUUAUAAAGCAGUAACACAUAAAGAAAAAACUGUAAACAAAUAAGCAACUAACAAAUAAUAAAACGACAUAAACAAAAUAAAAAUCAAAUAAAGCAAACAAAACACAUAAAAAAACCUCAAUCGAAUAUCCUAAAAAGCCAACAAGAUCAAGUACUAGCUCGAACCUGCAAUUCCCCAGCAGAGUCGUCAGAGAUGUCACACCCUUUCUUUUAAAAACCUCACUAACCCUCAUAAAUUAAUAAAAAAAAUUGUAAAGCUUGAAAAGGAUUUUCCAAUUAGAAAGUGACAAAAUUGUGUUCAAAAGGAAAUAACUCGGAGUCGCCACCUGACAUUUGUUUCGGUGUGCCAGGUCACCAUUUUAAAAAUGAUUUUCCUUUUAAAAACACUUCGGACUCCAACUUAAGUCUCCACCAGAAAUUUGGGUAAAGGGGUUCAUUUGACUCGGGGAAAAGGUGUUAGGCACUCCCCAAGUCCCGUAACUAGUACAGUUGCAUAGAUCUAGUUGGCUUUUAAAAUAAUCGAAUUGAGAUAACAAACACAGAAAAGGAAAAUAAACACAAAAGAAGCUCGAGGUCGUCCCCACCUAAAUGAAAAAAAAACUAAAAGAAGGAAAAUUAAAGUUCUAAAUUAUCCUACGCUACUUCUUCUAUGAUGUUCACCACGGCCUCCAAUUACAAAAUACUACGGGACAUACCCCGGAUAAAAAUAUAUACAAAUCCUUCGGGGCAUUUUCCGAAUAAAUUUAACUAAGGGAACGACCUCUCGCCUCGAAAUUAACAUAAUCCUACGGCUUGCCUACCCUAGUUUGGUCGGCCUAAACAUGCUCUUAGCGGUUAAGUAAUAACAUAAAAUAAUGAAGCAUCUUAAGGUCCAACUCAUUUUUUACUUAACUUCACCUCCCACGUCCAAAGUCUUGAUAAUUCAUAUGAGCCAAACAACAAGGAACAAAUUAUCCAAAACAUAUAAAUAAUGAAAGAUCUAACAGUUAACUAUUCAAAUACGGGACUAAUAAAUAGCUAGUGGAGAAACAAAUAACUACUAUUUGAGAAACUAGUAGACAAGGGACAUAUAGCAAAGGAAAAAUGAAAUGAAGCGAUAAAAAAUUGGCCAAUUUAACAGAGAAUCAUGUCUUCAAAACCGUCCCAUAUUUGUCAACUUAAAGACUACCCACGGAUUCAUUGGAACAAAUAUAUUGGAAUAAAGAACUGUUAUUCAUUUAGAAUGGAGGAGGUCAAAUAUGUGAAUCUAAGACUAAUUAAUUAUUCCUAUUAGAAUGAAACCUCAAAUUUAGCUUAAAUAGAGAAAGCACCGUAAAACAAGUCUAACAAACAUCAAGAGAGCAAUAAUAUAUUUUUUCUAGAAAAAUAAUGAGAUCUAAGUGAGUCUAAGAUUAUCAACCACAAAUCUCUAUGGCGUAAAACUAUUUAUACGGACCGAUAUCACGGAAUAACCUAUCAUCACACACAAAAUAACAUUGCAAACAAAGGAUAAAGGGAUGAGAAGGAACCUCAACGAGCCAACUUAUAUGGAUUUUGCAAGGAAUUUAACGCAGAUUUGCAACAAACUCUGAAGUAAAGAACUACAACGCAACAGCAGGAAUCGUAACUCGGACCGAAACCUCAAACAUGAACCCGAACAGCAGCCACGAACAGCCGUAUUUUUGUGUUUUCUGAUUUUGAAGGAAAACUAAAACUUUAAAGAAACUGAUUCCAUUUUUUUAUGCGAAGAGCUGAAGCGGAGUAUCAGAAACUAAAAGAAAAUCCUUUCUCUACCAAAUUUCCGUCAAGCUAGACGAAAAUUUCUUUACCCAUGAUGUGCGUGCGUGUGUGUAUGUGUUUUGUUGGAAAAGGAAUGGGUGGGCGUUUGGUUAAUGGCGACGGGGCUGGUGUUCUGGUUGAGAGUCACCGACGGCGGACUGGUGAGGCUGAAGAUGAGCUGGCCGGCGGCGGCAGUAAUGUGAAGGAGAUGAUACAAUCGCUGGUGUUCUUGUAUGUGUUAGGUUCUAAAGUCUUGGAGAUUAGAGGCAGGGGGAGGGCACCGAUCUGCUUCUUUUUGGUUUAGAGAUCUGUUGUGCCGUUGGUUCUUUGGUGUGCUAAGGUUGAGGAAGUUAUGGUAACGGCUGGAGUCCGGCGAUAGGGGCGGCGGCGGCUUCUCUAGUGUCCAAGGUUUUUAGUUCUUGUCUCCUUAUGUGUAUUAAGGUUGAGAAGAAGAUCAUCUAGCUAGGGUUCUUUCAUGUUGUCUC
rnacentral:lncRNA from 1 species